AGUGAACGCUGGCGGUAUGCCUAACACAUGCAAGUCGAACGGCAGCACAGUAAGAGCUUGCUCUUACGGGUGGCGAGUGGCGGACGGGUGAGGAAUACAUCCGAAUCUACUUUUUCGUGGGGGAUAACGUAGGGAAACUUACGCUAAUACCGCAUACGACCUACGGGUGAAAGCAGGGGAUCUUCUGACCUUGCGCGAUUGAAUGAGCCGAUGUCGGAUUAGCUAGUUGGCGGGGUAAAGGCCCACCAAGGCGACGAUCCGUAGCUGGUCUGAGAGGAUGAUCAGCCACACUGGAACUGAGACACGGUCCAGACUCCUACGGGAGGCAGCAGUGGGGAAUAUUGGACAAUGGGCGCAAGCCUGAUCCAGCCAUACCGCGUGGGUGAAGAAGGCCUUCGGGUUGUAAAGCCCUUUUGUUGGGAAAGAAAAGCAGCAGGUUAAUACCCCGCUGUUCUGACGGUACCCAAAGAAUAAGCACCGGCUAACUUCGUG
rnacentral:rRNA from 1 species